GAUGAAGAACGUAGCGAAAUGCGAUAAGUAGUGUGAAUUGCAGAAUUCAGUGAAUCAUCGAAUCUUUGAACGCACAUUGCGCCCCUUGGUAUUCCAUGGGGCAUGCCUGUUCGAGCGUCAUUUGUACCUUCAAGCUCUGCUUGGUGUUGGGUGUUUGUCUCGCCUCUGCGUGUAGACUCGCCUCAAAACAAUUGGCAGCCGGCGUAUUGAUUUCGGAGCGCAGUACAUCUCGCGCUUUGCACUCAUAACGACGACGUCCAAAAGUACAUUUUUACACUCUUGACCUCGGAUCAGGUAGGGAUACCAGCUGAACUUAAGCAUAUCAAUAAGCGGAGGA
rnacentral:misc_RNA from 1 species